rnacentral:rRNA from 1 species
GAUGAACGCUGACAGAAUGCUUAACACAUGCAAGUCUUUGGCGAAGCUGUGCUUGCACAGCCUAGCCAAGGCGGACGGGUGAGUAACGCGUAAGGAACUUGCCCUGCAGUCAGGGAUAACAGACGGAAACGACUGAUAAGACCUGGUAAAGUCAGGCGGACUCAUGUCCAGCCUGAUGAAAAGUGAUGCUGCAGGAGAGCCUUGCGUCCUAUUAGCUUGUUGGUGGGGUAACGGCCCGCCAAGGCGAUGAUAGGUAGCCGGCCUGAGAGGGUGGACGGCCACAAGGGGACUGAGAUACGGCCCUUACUCCUACGGGAGGCAGCAGUGGGGAAUAUUGGACAAUGGGGGCAACCCUGAUCCAGCAAUUCUGUGUGCACGAUGAAGGUUUUCGGAGUGUAAAGUGCUUUCAGCAGGGAAGAAAAAAAUGACGGUACCUGCAGAAGAAGCGACGGCUAAAUACGUG